GGGUGAACCUGGUGACCCUGGAGAGAAGGGCUUAGCUGGACCACCUGGACAGAGAGGCAUUCCUGGCACGGAUGGCAGAGAUGCCUAUGGUCAUGGAGGAAGCAAAGGAGCAAAGGGAGAAUCUGGAUUCAUGGGAUAUCCUGGUCCAGAGGGAGAAGAAGGAGAUCAGGGCAUUCCAGGAGCUGAAGGACCCAAAGGAAUUAGGGGUAG